rnacentral:rRNA from 1 species
CUGGAGGUAUCAGAAGUGCGAAUGCUGACAUAAGUAACGAUAAAGCGGGUGAAAAGCCCGCUCGCCGGAAGACCAAGGGUUCCUGUCCAACGUUAAUCGGGGCAGGGUGAGUCGACCCCUAAGGCGAGGCCGAAAGGCGUAGUCGAUGGGAAACAGGUUAAUAUUCCUGUACUUGGUGUUACUGCGAAGGGGGGACGGAGAAGGCUAUGUUGGCCGGGCGACGGUUGUCCCGGUUUAAGCGUGUAGGCUGGUUUUCCAGGCAAAUCCGGAAAAUCAAGGCUGAGGCGUGAUGACGAGGCACUACGGUGCUGAAGCAACAAAUGCCCUGCUUCCAGGAAAAGCCUCUAAGCAUCAGGUAACAUCAAAUCGUACCCCAAACCGACACAGGUGGUCAGGUAGAGAAUACCAAGGCGCUUGAGAGAACUCGGGUGAAGGAACUAGGCAAAAUGGUGCCGUAACUUCGGGAGAAGGCACGCUGAUAUGUAGGUGAAGCGACUUGCUCGUGGAGCUGAAAUCAGUCGAAGAUACCAGCUGGCUGCAACUGUUUAUUAAAAACACAGCACUGUGCAAACACGAAAGUGGACGUAUACGGUGUGACGCCUGCCCGGUGCCGGAAGGUUAAUUGAUGGGGUCAGCGCAAGCGAAGCUCUUGAUCGAAGCCCCGGUAAACGGCGGCCGUAACUAUAACGGUCCUAAGGUAGCGAAAUUCCUUGUCGGGUAAGUUCCGACCUGCACGAAUGGCGUAAUGAUGGCCAGGCUGUCUCCACCCGAGACUCAGUGAAAUUGAACUCGCUGUGAAGAUGCAGUGUACCCGCGGCAAGACGGAAAGACCCCGUGAACCUUUACUAUAGCUUGACACUGAACAUUGAGCCUUGAUGUGUAGGAUAGGUGGGAGGCUUUGAAGUGUGGACGCCAGUCUGCAUGGAGCCGACCUUGAAAUACCACCCUUUAAUGUUUGAUGUUCUAACGUUGACCCGUAAUCCGGGUUGCGGACAGUGUCUGGUGGGUAGUUUGACUGGGGCGGUCUCCUCCUAAAGAGUAACGGAGGAGCACGAAGGUUGGCUAAUCCUGGUCGGACAUCAGGAGGUUAGUGCAAUGGCAUAAGCCAGCUUGACUGCGAGCGUGACG